GAUGAACGCUAGCGGCAGGCUUAACACAUGCAAGUCGAGGGGUAACAGGAGUGCUUGCACUUGCUGACGACCGGCGCACGGGUGCGUAACGCGUAUAGAACCUACCUUUUAGUGAGGGAUAGCCCAGAGAAAUUUGGAUUAAUACCUCAUAGUAUCUUAAGUGAGCAUUCACUAAGGAUUAAAGAUUUAUUGCUAAAAGAUGGCUAUGCGUUCUAUUAGCUAGUUGGUAUGGUAACGGCAUACCAAGGCUACGAUAGAUAGGGGUCCUGAGAGGGAGAUCCCCCACACUGGUACUGAGACACGGACCAG
rnacentral:rRNA from 1 species